rnacentral:rRNA from 1 species
CCUACGGGUGGCAGCAGUGAGGAAUAUUGGUCAAUGGACGAGAGUCUGAACCAGCCAAGUAGCGUGAAGGAUGACUGCCCUAUGGGUUGUAAACUUCUUUUAUAUGGGAGUAAAAUGUUCCACGUGUGGGAUUUUGUAUGUACCAUAUGAAUAAGGAUCGGCUAACUCCGUGCCAGCAGCCGCGGUAAUACGGAGGAUCCGAGCGUUAUCCGGAUUUAUUGGGUUUAAAGGGAGCGUAGGUGGAGUGUUAAGUCAGUUGUGAAAGUUUGCGGCUCAACCGUAAAAUUGCAGUUGAAACUGGCAGUCUUGAGUACAGUAGAGGUAGGCGGAAUUCGUGGUGUAGCGGUGAAAUGCUUAGAUAUCACGAAGAACUCCGAUUGCGAAGGCAGUUCACUGGACUGCAACUGACACUGAGGCUCGAAAGUGUGGGUAUCAAACAGGAUUAGAUACCCUUGUAGUC